UACGAGGGGGGCGAGCGUUGUUCGGAAUUAUUGGGCGUAAAGGGUGCGUAGGCGGUUUGGUAAGUCUUGUGUGAAAUCUACAGGCUCAACUUGUAGUCUGCACGAGAAACUGCCGGGCUUGAGUGUGGGAGAGGUGAGUGGAAUUCCUGGUGUAGCGGUGAAAUGCGCAGAUAUCAGGAGGAACACCGGUGGCGAAGGCGGGUCUCUGGGCCGGUACCGACGCUGAGGAGCGAAAGCGUGGGGAGCGAACAGG
rnacentral:rRNA from 1 species